AACUGAUACUACCUGCGGGAACCUGCGGAGGGAUCAUUAGUGAACGCCCUCACGGGCUUAUAACUAUUCCAAACCUCUGUGAACCGUGCCCUUCGGGGCUAUUUUACAAACAUGGCGUAAUGAACGUCAUAUAUCAUAACAAAACAAAACUUUUAACAACGGAUCUCU
rnacentral:misc_RNA from 1 species